CAGGGAUUCCCAGAGGAUUUUGCAUUUCUGACAAUGGACGGAGCAGACAGCUGGUCCACACAAAAAUUUCAACCUCUUCCUCUUCACCACAGAGGUUCAUGCCCAGCAGUGCAGCAGAGCCACAAAGCCGGACUUAUGCUGGCCCCCUGGAUAUCCGCGGGUUAUCCCACCGGUGAGGGGGCAGGACCUCACUGCCAGCAGCGAUGCCUUGGGAUGCUUGUGUUGGGCACGUGUUGGUCCUCUCCAGCCAAAGCAGGAGGCAAAGGCUGCCUUCACCAGGCUGCUGGGUGCAGUCUUGCAGGUAGAGGCUGCACGGUGCUCAAAUAUCUUCAGGCUCUGGGUGGGAGAUGGGCUCGAGCCUGCCCAGCCCUGCUGAGGAGUGCACAUUUUUGGCCUGUCCAUGGCAGUGUGGUGGGAACAGCCCCUUCCUUCACCAGGGGAAGUGGAAAUUUUUGUCAGUGCACACAAAGGGGAAUUGGGUCUUCAAGGAUCAAUCCUACAAGCAAAUGACAAUAACACUGUGGGAGGAGUGAUGUAUGAGAGAGGUCAACUUUUGCAACCAGAUUAGCGCAGACUUUCUCCUUCAGUGUUUGAUCCUUUUUACCAUUGCUCAGAUCAUGUCAAGUUUACUCAUAGUCAGAGAGUGCUUUCCAACAGCUUCUCCUGAAUAUUUUAAUUCAUUUAUUUCUCCCAUCCGCUUCCCUUUCCUCUUCCAUUUCACUAUUACAGAUGUCAGUUCAACAAAUAAAGUAUGUGGGCAGGACAAUGAAACUAUUCUCUUGCAAAAAAAAAAAAAGAGAGAGAGAGAUUAUUUCAUUCUCCUGCUAUUAACUUUAAAAGAAAAGGCCUUUUGUACCUUUCAUACAAGCGGGUGUAAUGAUACAGUUGUGUACCUCGGCUCCUUAGCUUCUGAGGAAAUGAUUCAGGAGAGCAUCUUUUUGAAAGACUAUCAGUAUAACCUGAAAUUUCUUUUACCUAGGAACCUCUUUCAAGUAAGGCAAAAUAAUUCCUGAACAUAAUGCCACACAGGUAACCUGGACUGUGCUGCUUCCCUCCAUCUGCUCCACACUCCUAGCUGGGCUGCUAAAGGAUCUGGUGGAUUCUCCAUCUAUUUGGAUACGUAAUCUGAUUUUUUCUUAGUUUCUACAUCAUGUUCUAUUAUGAGGGUAAGGGAAUAUGGGAAAGGGGGGAAAAAGAGGCUAGGACAGGUGAAGAAAAAAUGUAUUUUCUGGAAAAAAAUAAAUAAAUAUCAUUUUGGUGUUUUGCCUGAUAUUAGGACAAAUACUAUCUGUCCAGAGUAUUCCACUGCCAAGUGAAUAAGAAAAUAAAUACUUUUUUUGA